rnacentral:rRNA from 1 species
GCCCAGCUUGCUGGGCGCGCAUUAGUGGCGAACGGGUGAGUAAUACGUGAGUAACCUGCCCUUGACUCUGGGAUAAGCCUGGGAAACUGGGUCUAAUACUGGAUACUACCUCUUGCCGCAUGGUGGGUGGUGGAAAGGGUUUUACUGGUUUUGGAUGGGCUCACGGCCUAUCAGCUUGUUGGUGGGGUAAUGGCUCACCAAGGCGACGACGGGUAGCCGGCCUGAGAGGGUGACCGGCCACACUGGGACUGAGACACGGCCCAGACUCCUACGGGAGGCAGCAGUGGGGAAUAUUGCACAAUGGGCGGAAGCCUGAUGCAGCGACGCCGCGUGAGGGAUGACGGCCUUCGGGUUGUAAACCUCUUUCAGUAGGGAAGAAGCGAGAGUGACGGUACCUGCAGAAGAAGCGCCGGCUAACUACGUGCCAGCAGCCGCGGUAAUACGUAGGGCGCAAGCGUUGUCCGGAAUUAUUGGGCGUAAAGAGCUCGUAGGCGGUUUGUCGCGUCUGCUGUGAAAGCCCGGGGCUCAACCCCGGGUCUGCAGUGGGUACGGGCAGACUAGAGUGCAGUAGGGGAGACUGGAAUUCCUGGUGUAGCGGUGAAAUGCGCAGAUAUCAGGAGGAACACCGAUGGCGAAGGCAGGUCUCUGGGCUGUUACUGACGCUGAGGAGCGAAAGCAUGGGGAGCGAACAGGAUUAGAUACCCUGGUAGUCCAUGCCGUAAACGUUGGGCACUAGGUGUGGGGGACAUUCCACGUUUUCCGCGCCGUAGCUAACGCAUUAAGUGCCCCGCCUGGGGAGUACGGCCGCAAGGCUAAAACUCAAAGGAAUUGACGGGGGCCCGCACAAGCGGCGGAGCAUGCGGAUUAAUUCGAUGCAACGCGAAGAACCUUACCAAGGCUUGACAUUCACCGGACCGCCCCAGAGAUGGGGUUUCCCUUCGGGGCUGGUGGACAGGUGGUGCAUGGUUGUCGUCAGCUCGUGUCGUGAGAUGUUGGGUU